rnacentral:ncRNA from 1 species
GCGACAAAAAGGCAAACCUCGAGGUAACUUGGGGGGCGCAAAACCACGGAUCCUUAUAGACACAGAUGAUCACAGAUUGACAAAACACAGAUGAUCACAGAUUAUAUCUGUGCUAAUCUGUAUUGACGCGAAGCAUCUGUGUUAAUCUGUGAAGCGAAGCAGGACGGCCGGGCUGCCGAA